AUCCUUUUGUAGUUCAUAAGCGUGAUGAUUGGGUGUUCAUGCCAUUGUGUGACAUGUGCCUCCCUCAAACCUUGUUACAACCUUGGCACAUUACCCAUCUGACA
ensembl:snoRNA